UCUAAAAUGGCAGAUAAUAUGCAUAAGAUUUAAGCUCUUAUUAUGAAGAAAAAUCUUCUUUUAGAA
rnacentral:tRNA from 1 species